rnacentral:tRNA from 1 species
GGGGGAUUAGCUCAGUUGGUUAGAGCGCCUGCUUGACAUGCAGGAGGCCGGCAGUUCGAGUCUGCCAUCUCCCACCA